rnacentral:rRNA from 1 species
AGAGUUUGAUCCUGGCUCAGAGUCAACGCUGGCGGCAGUGCCUCAGACAUGCAAGUCGAACGAUUAAAGCUCCCUUCGGGGAGUGCAUAAAGUGGCGCACGGGGAGUAACACGUAAGUAAUCUACCCUCGGGUGGGGAAUAACGUUCGGAAACGAACGCUAAUACCGCAUAAUGCAGCGGGCACCGCAAGGUGACAGGUGUUAAAGAUUUAUUGCCUGGGGGAAGGAGCUUGCGGCAAAUUAACUUGGUUGGUAAGGAACCGGCUUACCCAAGGCUAACAAACUGGUUUCCGUCUAAAAAGAACGGCCGGACACCCCGGCCCUUGAAAAACGGGGCCAAAUCCCACCGGGAAGGAACAUCGGGAAUUUUUGGGCAAGGGGGGAAAACCCUGACCCACCAACCCCCCCGUGAAAGAAGAAAAAAUUUUCGGGUGGUAAAUUUCCAAAAAAAUAAGAAAGAAUUAUGGCCGGGACUAUUUUUUUAAGGGCCCGGGUAAAUACUUGCCGCCAACCCCGGGAAAAACUAAGGACCACACCGUUUUUCGAAUUUUCUGGGGCUAAAGGGCGCGUAAGCGGCGCGGGAAAUCACUUGUGAAAUCUUCUGAGCUUAACUCCAAAAGGCCAAUGAUAUUCCCGGUUAAUGUGGGAAGGGCAAUCGCAAAUCUUUGUGUAUCGGUGAAUGCGUUAUAUUCAGAGGAGCAACCCACGUGAAGAACGGUUGCUGUGUCCCCACCCUCACCCCUUUAAGCCGCAAACCAUGGGACCAACGUAGUUCACUCCCCGGUUCGUCCUGCCUUACCGAUGAUUGCGUGGGUUGUCGGAGUUAAUUGCUUCGGCUGCUGUCGCUACGUUAUUAGUACUCCCGGCGUGGGGAGCUACACUCGCAAGAGUGAUACUCAAGGAUUGACGGGACCCCGCACAGGCGGUGGCACGCAUGUUGUUUUAUUGCGACGCAGCGGCGAAGCAUCUUCACUUAGGAUUAGAAUGUGAGGGAAUUGUUGGGUAACCGCCCACCAGUCGGGGACACCCAGACCCAAACCAGGCUGCUGCAUGCCUGUCGUCAGCUCGUUGUCGUGAGAUGUUGGGAUAAGUCCCCGCAACGAGCGCACUCUUUAUCAACAGUUGCCAUCAUUAAGUUGGAAUCUCUGUUGAGACUGCCGUUGAUAAACCGGAGGAAGGUGGGGAUGAUGUCCAAGUCAUCCAUGCCCUUUAUGCUUAGGGCUACACACGUGCUACAAUGGAUGGUACAAAACGUCGCAAUCUCGUAAGAGGGAGCUAAUCGCGAAAACCAUUCUCAGUUCGGAUUGAAGUCUGCAACUCGACUUCAUGAAGUUGGAAUCGCUAGUAAUCGCAGAUCAGAACGCUGCGGUGAAUACGUUCCCGGGUCUUGUACACACCGCCCGUCACAUCACGAAAGUAGGUUGUACUAGAAGUAGCUGGGCCAACUCGCAAGAGAGGCAGGUUACCACGGUAUGAUUUAUGAUUGGGGUGAAGUCGUAACAAGGUAACC